GAUGAACGCUGGCGGCGUGCUUAACACAUGCAAGUCGAGCGAGUGAGUUCUUCGGAACGAUCUAGCGGCGGACGGGUGAGUAACACGUGGGCAACCUGCCUCAUAGAGGGGAAUAGCCUCCCGAAAGGGAGAUUAAUACCGCAUAACAUCGUUGAAGGGCAUCCUUCGAUGAUCAAAGGAGCAAUCCGCUAUGAGAUGGGCCCGCGGCGCAUUAGCUAGUUGGUGAGGUAACGGCUCACCAAGGCGACGAUGCGUAGCCGACCUGAGAGGGUGAUCGGCCACAUUGGGACUGAGACACGGCCCAGACUCCGACGGGAGGCAGCAGUGGGGAGUAUUGCACAAUGGGGGAAACCCUGAUGCAGCAACGCCGCGUGAGUGAUGACGGCCUUCGGGUUGUAAAGCUCUGUCUUUGGGGACGAUAAUGACGGUACCCAAGGAGGAAGUCACGGCUAACUACGUGCCAGCCGCCGCGGUAA
rnacentral:rRNA from 1 species